rnacentral:rRNA from 1 species
AAAGGUAAGCUACUAAGAGCGAAUGGUGGAUGCCUUGACUGGUAAAGGCGAUGAAGGACGUACUAGACUGCGAUAAGCUACGGGGAGCUGUCAAGAAGCUUUGAUCCGUAGAUUUCCGAAUGGGGCAACCCAAUGUAUAGAGAUAUACAUUACCUAUAUAGGAGCGAACGAGGGGAAUUGAAACAUCUUAGUACCCUCAGGAAAAGAAAUCAAUAGAGAUUGCGUCAGUAGCGGCGAGCGAAAGCGCAAGAGGGCAAACCCAGUGCUUGCACUGGGGGUUGUAGGACUGCAAUGUGCAAGAGGUAAGUUUAGCAGAACAUUCUGGAAAGUAUAACCAUAGAGGGUGAUAGUCCCGUAUGCGAAAAACAAACCUUAGCUAGCAGUAUCCUGAGUAGGGCGGGACACGAGGAAUCCUGUCUGAAUCCGGGUCGACCACGAUCCAA